AUUGAACGCUGGCGGCAUGCUUUACACUUGCAAGUCGAACGGUAACAGGCCUUCGGGUGCUGACGAGUGGCGAACGGGUGAGUAAUGCAUCGGAACGUACCCAGAGGUGGGGGAUAACGCAGCGAAAGCUGUGCUAAUACCGCAUGUGAUCUGAGGAUGAAAGCGGGGGACCGCGCAGCAAUGUUUGGCCUCGCGCCUUUGGAGCGGCCGAUGUCGGAUUAGCUAGUUGGUGGGGUAAAGGCCUACCAAGGCGACGAUCCGUAGCUGGUCUGAGAGGACGACCAGCCACACUGGGACUGAGACACGGCCCAGACUCCUACGGGAGGCAGCAGUGGGGAAUUUUGGACAAUGGGCGCAAGCCUGAUCCAGCAAUGCCGCGUGCGGGAAGAAGGCCUUCGGGUUGUAAACCGCUUUUGGCAGGAACGAAACGGUGUCCGCUAAUACCGGGCGCUAAUGACGGUACCUGCAGAAUAAGCACCGGCUAACUACGUG
rnacentral:rRNA from 1 species